rnacentral:rRNA from 1 species
UACGGAGGGUGCUAGCGUUGUUCGGAAUUACUGGGCGUAAAGGGCGCGUAGGCGGCCGUUUGCGUCGGAUGUGAAAGCCCGGGGCUCAACCUCGGAACGGCAUUCGAUACGGGACGGCUGGAGACCGGGAGAGGAGAGUGGAAUAGCCAGUGUAGAGGUGAAAUUCGUAGAUAUUGGCUGGAACACCGGUGGCGAAAGCGGCUCUCUGGCCCGGUUCUGACGCUGAGGCGCGAAAGCGUGGGGAGCAAACCGG